GGCAAAGUUAAUAAGGGCGCACGGUGGAUGCCUUGGCACUAAGAGCCGAUGAAGGACGUGACUAACGACGAUAUUCUAGGGGGAGCAGUAAGUACGCAUUGAUCCCUAGGUCUCCGAAUGGGGAAACCCAGCUGCUACUAGCAGU
rnacentral:rRNA from 1 species